rnacentral:rRNA from 1 species
UACGGAGAUCCAAGCGUUAUCCGGAUUUAUUGGGUUUAAAGGGUGCGUAGGCGGCUUUUUAAGUCAGGGGUGAAAGACGGUAGCUCAACUAUCGCAGUGCCCUUGAUACUGAAGGAGCUUGAAUACACUAGAGGUAGGCGGAAUGUGACAAGUAGCGGUGAAAUGCAUAGAUAUGUCACAGAACACCAAUUGCGAAGGCAGCUUACUAUGGUGUCAUUGACGCUGAGGCACGAAAGCGUGGGGAUCAAACAGGA